AGAUUAAUAUCCGAUAGCAUAUAUUUCCCGCAUGGGUUUUAUAUUAAAGAAAUUCGGUAUGAGAUGGGGAUGCGUUCCAUUAGUUUGUUGGCGGGGUAACGGCCCACCAAGACUACGAUGGAUAGGGGUUCUGAGAGGAAGGUCCCCCACAUUGGAACUGAGACACGGUCCAAACUCCUACGGGAGGCAGCAGUGAGGAAUAUUGGUCAAUGGACGCGAGUCUGAACCAGCCAAGUAGCGUGAAGGAUGACUGCCCUAUGGGUUGUAAACUUCUUUUAUAUGGGAAUAAAGUGGUCCACGUGUGGAUUUUUGUAUGUACCAUAUGAAUAAGGAUCGGCUAACUCCGUGCCAGCAGCCGCGGUAAUACGGAGGAUCCGAGCGUUAUCCGGAUUUAUUGGGUUUAAAGGGAGCGUAGGCGGAUUGUUAAGUCAGUUGUGAAAGUUUGCGGCUCAACCGUAAAAUUGCAGUUGAUACUGGCAGUCUUGAGUGCAGUAGAGGUGGGCGGAAUUCGUGGUGUAGCGGUGAAAUGCUUAGAUAUCACGAAGAACUCCGAUUGCGAAG
rnacentral:rRNA from 1 species